rnacentral:rRNA from 1 species
AUCAAGGCUGAGGCGUGAUGACGAGGCACUACGGUGCUGAAGCAACAAAUGCCCUGCUUCCAGGAAAAGCCUCUAAGCAUCAGGUAACAUCAAAUCGUACCCCAAACCGACACAGGUGGUCAGGUAGAGAAUACCAAGGCGCUUGAGAGAACUCGGGUGAAGGAACUAGGCAAAAUGGUGCCGUAACUUCGGGAGAAGGCACGCUGAUAUGUAGGUGAAGCGACUUGCUCGUGGAGCUGAAAUCAGUCGAAGAUACCAGCUGGCUGCAACUGUUUAUUAAAAACACAGCACUGUGCAAACACGAAAGUGGACGUAUACGGUGUGACGCCUGCCCGGUGCCGGAAGGUUAAUUGAUGGGGUUAGCGGUAACGCGAAGCUCUUGAUCGAAGCCCCGGUAAACGGCGGCCGUAACUAUAACGGUCCUAAGGUAGCGAAAUUCCUUGUCGGGUAAGUUCCGACCUGCACGAAUGGCGUAAUGAUGGCCAGGCUGUCUCCACCCGAGACUCAGUGAAAUUGAACUCGCUGUGAAGAUGCAGUGUACCCGCGGCAAGACGGAAAGACCCCGUGAACCUUUACUAUAGCUUGACACUGAACAUUGAGCCUUGAUGUGUAGGAUAGGUGGGAGGCUUUGAAGUGUGGACGCCAGUCUGCAUGGAGCCGACCUUGAAAUACCACCCUUUAAUGUUUGAUGUUCUAACGUUGACCCGUAAUCCGGGUUGCGGACAGUGUCUGGUGGGUAGUUUGACUGGGGCGGUCUCCUCCUAAAGAGUAACGGAGGAGCACGAAGGUUGGCUAAUCCUGGUCGGACAUCAGGAGGUUAGUGCAAUGGCAUAAGCCAGCUUGACUGCGAGCGUGACGGCGCGAGCAGGUGCGAAAGCAGGUCAUAGUGAUCCGGUGGUUCUGAAUGGAAGGGCCAUCGCUCAACGGAUAAAAGGUACUCCGGGGAUAACAGGCUGAUACCGCCCAAGAGUUCAUAUCGACGGCGGUGUUUGGCACCUCGAUGUCGGCUCAUCACAUCCUGGGGCUGAAGUAGGUCCCAAGGGUAUGGCUGUUCGCCAUUUAAAGUGGUACGCGAGCUGGGUUUAGAACGUCGUGAGACAGUUCGGUCCCUAUCUGCCGUGGGCGCUGGAGAACUGAGGGGGGCUGCUCCUAGUACGAGAGGACCGGAGUGGACGCAUCACUGGUGUUCGGGUUGUCAUGCCAAUGGCACUGCCCGGUAGCUAAAUGCGGAAGAGAUAAGUGCUGAAAGCAUCUAAGCACGAAACUUGCC